UUAUGAUUAGGGUUAGGUUUAGGGGUUAGGAUUAGUGUGGAGUUAACCUUUUUCCUCGGUCCAAACCAUGGUUGAGAUCAAUGUUUGGCACGGGCCUGCCUUCGGUCCAUCAGUAACAAACCCUUUUAAUUUCUCGUUGAGGCCCCAUGGGUGCCAUGAGCUUAGUUUAAGUAUCCAGUCCUCUUCAGGCAGUCCGAGUCCAGGCCUUGUUGUAUUGAAGGACCAUGAUCCUUAGUGCUUCCAGGCCAUAGACUAUAAAGUGUCGGACGUUAUAUCGGUGUUGGGUCAGUCUAACUGCCAGAUUAUUACCCAUUUCUCUGACAUAUUGUAAAUUGCAUUUGUUACAGUAAAGUAAAUAAAUGCAAUUUGAGACUUGUUGGGGUAGAGGUGGCCAGAUUGUAUCUGUGUAUUUGGAUUUUUGGUUAGCAAUAUAAUGUUUGGGCUGAAAUUCCGACAUAGUUGCUUAUUGGGUUUAUGCUUUUUUACAGAGGCUAAUUUGCUCUUAAUCAUUAAAUAUUUUAGAUUUUUAUUCCUUUUGUAGGACGUGAUGACCCUGUGUUUGUCCAGACCUACCUGUUGUGUCAUGAAUCUGGUAAAAUUUGCUUUGACUCUCCUGUUUAGUAUUAUACUGCAGCUUGAGACGGUGCCAAACAAAGGGACGAGUUGUUCACUCCCUGCCAGAAGCCUUCCAGGUUGCAGCUGAUCUGAUGAAAUCUCAACAACUGUGACUUCAGGACCCCUUUAAAGACACCCCAAAUGUCAUCCAGGACCCCUUCCUCCCAUUUGGCCAUGAAAAUGUUGGCAUAGGACGGAGAAAACCCAUUUUCCAAUGACCGUUCCCUUGAUCUGGAAAAAAUAUUCCGUAUUAAAUUCAAUUCAUUCAUUCAUUCAAUUAAAAUCAUUCUUUUUUUGGAUUAAUCUCUAACAAAUCUAAAUGUUUGUCUGGUCUUUCCUUGUCUGGGUAUCUGUUAAACCUCUCCCUAAUUUCUAGUAAGCCUGCCGGUGUGUCUAUGUUGGUGUAUAAACUAUCUAUGUCAAUUGUAAAUAGGAGUUAGUUUUUGGGUAGCUAAAGUUUUCAAUUUUUUUCAAUAAAGUCGUAGGUGUCUUUGAUAUAACUGGGGUGCUGGGUGCUUAUGGGGUUAAGGAAAUGCUCAAUGUAUUCCGCUGUGGCAUAAGUGUCACUGCCACAGUCGGAGACAAUGGGGCGGCCUGGGGGCAUUUCAAAUGGGUUACUCCAUGUUUUGGGGUCCUUAUGAAUUUUUGUGAGGAGGUAAAAGUCUGUUGCGUGAAUUAUCUGGUCCCAGUAAAUAGGUCAGUUGUUAUCCCAUUAUGGAUCCUUCUUCUUUAAGUUUUAAGUGCUUAAUCUUAGGGACCAUUUUCGAAUUCAGGGGUUUCGAAUUUAAAGCCAAGAUUAGUUAUCAGGGAUCUAACAUGCGAUGCCAAGGGACAGAGGUCAACAGGGGGAGACUUGCAGGAGCCAGAAGAAACCCUCUUUUUGCUCUUCAGGUAAUAGCAAUGGAAGGAGACCCCAUGGUGUCUAAUGAUGGAUCCCAGGGGAAGCAAAUAAAAUGAAAAGAAUAAUGGCCGAAGAACCGAGUCCAGUGGAACCCCAUAGGACAAUGGAGCUGUGAAAGAUUAAAUUUCAUUUUGUCUCGCACUAUUGCACUAGGUUGCACUCAAUAUGGCUAGGACUUAAGUCCUUAGCUCUUUGUUGUUUUCCAACCUCAAAAACAAAUGGCAAUGCAGUUCCCCAUGCACUGCUAAGGGAAAUAAUUGCUAAAUGGGUUUUUCCAUAGUAAAUCUGUAGUGAUAAUGGUACACCCAUUGUUAACCAGGCAGUAGGUGAAAAACUGGGCAUGGAUUUGAUUCUAGCAGAGGAGCAGUGGUGAGAUAAAAUAGCGCUUUGAAAUGUAAAUU